rnacentral:rRNA from 1 species
UACGUAGGGCGCAAGCGUUAUCCGGAAUUAUUGGGCGUAAAGAGCUCGUAGGUGGUUUGUCGCGUUGUUCGUGAAAACUCACAGCUCAACUGUGGGCGUGCGGGCGAUACGGGCAGACUAGAGUACUGCAGGGGAGACUGGAAUUCCCGGUGUAGUGGUGAAAUGCGUAGAGAUCGGGAGGAACACCCGUGGCGAAGGCGGCCAACUGGGCCGAACCUGACGCUGAGGCGCGAAGGCGUGGGGAGCGAACGGG